rnacentral:pre_miRNA from 1 species
AUACAGUUCACCUGGGGGUCUUGUUAAAAUGCAGAUUCUGACUCAUUUGGUCUGGAAUGGAUCCUGAGAUUCUGCAAUUUUUAUAAGCUCCCAGGUGAUGCUGCU